AUUGAACGCUGGCGGCAUGAUUUACACAUGCAAGUCGAACGGUAACAGGCCGCAAGGUGCUGCCGAGUGACGAACGGGUGAGUAAUGCAUCGGAACGUGCCCCGUCGUGGGGGAUAACUACUCGAAAGAGUAGCUAAUACCGCAUACGAUCUAUGGAUGAAAGCGGGGGACCGUAAGGCCUCGCGCGAUUGGAGCGGCCGAUGUCAGAUUAGGUAGUUGGUGGGGUAAAGGCUCACCAAGCCAACGAUCUGUAGCUGGUCUGAGAGGACGACCAGCCACACUGGGACUGAGACACGGCCCAGACUCCUACGGGAGGCAGCAGUGGGGAAUUUUGGACAAUGGGCGCAAGCCUGAUCCAGCAAUGCCGCGUGCAGGAAGAAGGCCUUCGGGUUGUAAACUGCUUUUGUACGGAACGAAACGGCUCUGGUUAAUACCCGGGGCUAAUGACGGUACCGUAAGAAUAAGCACCGGCUAACUACGUG
rnacentral:rRNA from 1 species